AGCGGCGGACGGGUUAGUAACGCGUGGGAACGUGCCCAAUGGUGCGGGAUAGCCUCUGGAAACGGGGAUUAAUACCGCAUGUACCCUAAGGGGGAAAGAUUUAUCGCCAUUGGAUCGGCCCGCGUUGGAUUAGGUAGUUGGUGGGGUAAUGGCCUACCAAGCCUACGAUCCAUAGCUGGUUUGAGAGGAUGAUCAGCAACACUGGGACUGAGACACGGCCCAGACUCCUACGGGAGGCAGCAGUGGGGGAUCAUAGACAAUGGGGGAAACCCUGAUCUUGCCAUGCCGCGUGAGCGAUGAAGGCCCUAGGGUUGUAAAGCUCUUUCGCCAGGGAAGAUAAUGACGGUACCUGGUAAAGAAACCCCGGCUAACUCCGUGCCAGCAGCCGCGGUAAUACGAGAGGCCCGAGCGUUAAUCGGAAUCACUGGGCUUAAAGCGUGCGCAGGCGGGUUUGUAAGCAUCUCGUGAAAUCCCUCGGCUCAACCGGGGAACUGCGGGGUGAACUGCAAGCCUUGAGGCAGGUAGGGGUCAUCGGAACGUUCGGUGGAGCGGUGAAAUGCAUAGAUAUCGAACGGAACGCCACAGGUGAAGACAGAUGACUGGGCCUGAUCUGACGCUCAUGCACGAAAGCGUGGGGAUCAAACAGGAUUAGAUACCCUGGUAGUCCACGCCGUAAACGAUGCGCACUGGGUCGGUGCAGUUUAGACGCUGUGCCGGCCGUAGAGAAAUUCUUAAGUGCGCCGCCUGGGGAGUACGGUCGCAAGGCUAAAACUCAAAGGAAUUGACGGGGGCUCACACAAGCGGUGGAGCAUGUUGCUUAAUUCGAAGCAACGCGAAGAACCUUACCUGGGCUUGACAUGCACGGAUUAGCUCUUGGAAACAUGAGUGACGCCCUCGGGUGGAACGUGCACAGGUGCUGCAUGGCUGUCGUCAGCUCGUGCUGUGAAGUGUCGGGUUAAGUCCCUUAACGAGCGCAACCCUUGUCGCUAGUUGCCAGCGCGUAAUGGCGGGGACUCUAGCGAGACUGCCGGUGUCAAACCGGAGGAAGGUGGGGAUGACGUCAAGUCCUCAUGGCCCUUACGCCCAGGGAUGCAAACGUGCUACAAUGGCAUGUACAAUGCGAAGCAAGACCGCGAGGUGGAGCAAAUCGCAAAAAGCAUGCCUCAGUUCGGAUUGCAGUCUGCAACUCGACUGCAUGAAGCUGGAAUCGCUAGUAAUCGGAGAUCAGAACGCUCCGGCGAAUACGUUCCUGAGCAUUGUACACACCGCCCGUCAAGUCAUGGAAGCUGGGAGUGCCCGAAGUCGCCUCAUCUCAG
rnacentral:rRNA from 1 species